rnacentral:lncRNA from 1 species
GCGCGGGCGGGAGGGGCGGCGGGUGGCUGCCGGCUGGCUCUGCACACGCAGCCCCGGGCACUGCCGCGGAGGGCCGAUGCCACGGGAGCACGGGGUCGGGCCACCGCGUUCCCGCUGCAUACCCACCGGGCGCCGCGCUGCGGUCCGAGCCAGCGGGGAGAGGGCGGCGGCCGCGCCGUGGAACCCCUGCUUGCUCUGGUAACUUAGAAGAUGAUAAUUAAUGUGGUUGCUGAUAAUUCUGAAUAAAUACAGCUUUUAUCCCAGGUGUGCCAUUUUGAAGACUGAGACCAUAGAGUUCUAAGAAUAAAGGAAAGAGCCCUUGGGAAAUUAUUAUAUAUAGCAAAAAUGUGAAUCCUCAGAUGGAAUGAAAGGCCUGCACCAUAGACAUUGAAGCAUUUACACCCCGCUUGAAGAGUUUGAAAUGGACUUUACUACUGAGAAAUCAAGAUGGCAGCCCAUUAUGGGGGAAUUGAGGAAAAUGGAUUAAUGCAAGAAUGCUGUAAUAUUAUACAACCAACA